rnacentral:lncRNA from 1 species
GCAGUUAAUGGCUUCAUUUUACAGAUGGCAAGACUGAGGCAGACGGGCACCUUUGAAGACCUGCCAGGGGAAAGCAGUCGAGGAGGGGGAAUGUCUCCAGAACCUGGAACUUCCGAUUCUUCAGGUUCUGCUUACUUUGCAACACUCUGGGAUCAAUGGUCCUGGAGAAUGAGAAUCAGCAAAGGAGCUGUGUCUGUAGAUGGGAAUCCUCAUGCAUGUAGAAAGGACCCCCGAGUCUUGAUAAUGGGUGACAGAACCAGAUCUUGGGAAGAAGGACAUGCCUCAUGAUGGAAUCUGAUCUCUAGCAUGUUCUACUUUACUGAAGAAAAUAUACUGCUAAUAAUUUAACUGCACUUCGAUUAUCAGGAUAAGUUGUGCAAUAAAAUAUGCAGAUAGAAUGGAAACUUCAUAAGUGACAAAUGAUAAAUGAUAUAAAGCAGUGGAUAAUUUUACUUAGCUUCGAUUUUAAUGUUUAUCAAAUGAACGAAGCAAUGUAUUUAUAUGCAGAAAGCCACAUUAUCAUAAAUAUAUUUGCUAAAACAGGAAGAAUAAAUUGCGGUUAAAUUUAGUAACGUCUGAUGUUAUGGGUGAAUGUUUAUUUGUGAUUAAAUGUGAACAAUUGCUCCUUUAAGGUAAAGGUCUGCGUAUAUGUGAUUAAUCAAAUUGAAAUGAAAGUACAGACAGCUCAUGCCAUGCCUAGUUAUCAGAAUGAUUGAUUUUAGUCUGUGCUUCUAGGUGAAAAAA